CUGGGGUGAAGUUUACAGGCACAAACUGAGGGCACGUUUGCUGAGAAGCUGAAGGAACCCUCCCAGGACAGCUCCUGACCAGAGCAGCUGGCCCCGAUGUGCCCACCCGUUGUCACCCCGCUGCUGGGUGCUGCCCAGCCAUGACCCAUGGAGCUGCAGGAGCCGUGACCUCCUGCAGCUUGGCCAGAAGUUCCUCUUCGGUGAGACCCUGUGGAUAAUGAGGGCUGGCCCUGAUUUGAAGCAUCCUUCCUCUGGGAGCAUUCCCAUCAAAGAAGCUACCGGCAAGGCAAGGAGGGCCAGAAGUCUCUGACCGGUGACAGUUCAUGUGCAUGCAGGCUCCUGUGUUCAUCAGAGCCCUCCAGACAGCUGCAGUGAACUUGCAGGAAUCUUUUCCUAAAACCCAUCAGUUUUCAACAUAAAAAGAGCACGUGUCUUCUGGGGCCAGCUUUCCCCAGAGAGAAGCAUCCAUGGAGCUCCUGUUCUCUCUCUGGCUGUGCCACCGAGCUCAGUACAAAGAGUACAAAGCUGCUGCAAGUGGCAGGAGCAUCCCUGCUGCAGAGGCAGCACGACACAGGCUCUGCUCAGCCUCCACAGCCCCAUCGGGACCCCUGAAAGACCCUCGGGAGCGCAGCCACACUGCGGGUUUGCCUUGGGAUGCCGAAGCUCCUGCCUGCUGCCAGAGUGGGCUUUUUUUAUGUGCUGCUCUCCCCCAGCGCGACACAAGAUUAAUUGCAGCCAUAAAAACAUUAGGAGCUUUCUAAAUAUUUUAUGUGAAUAAGCACACACAAUAUGAGGGUUUUACUCGUUACAUUUCUGUAAAGGACAUUUUGUUUGUAAUAACUGGGAAACCUGACAGGUGAUUUUAUUUUUAGUGCUCCUGUCCGCUCUGAAGGACUCCGAACGCAAGGAGGAGACAAGGGCAAUAAGAAUUGCUCUCAGAGAACUGGGAGCAGAUACAGAGCUGAUGAGGAGAAGGUGAAAAGACGGCCACAAAUUUCAACCCCAAACCCAACCUCGUUGCCCACCGUUUGGAAACCGCUUGCAGCGGAGGAGAUCUGGCCCUGGCUGGAAGCCUCAAACCUUUUGUAAGCAGCCAGGGAAGGUUGCAGGAUUUGGCUUGUCAUCUCUGUGUCUGAAAGACCAGAUCUUGCUCGCCGUUCUCCCGAGAGACAAGGCUGCUCAGGCAGUUCCUAAAGCAGGAUCUGGCCCACCCAGGUAGGACUCGUUUGCCACCUGGCUUUUUCGGGAGUCAGCCUACAUCUUCCUCCCUGUACCUGCCUGGCUGCAGUCCCAGGCAGAGAAGAUCUGGACAUCUAGCAAUUACAGCAGACAGCACUUCUUUCCUCGCCCUUCCUGACUAUCUUGAGCAAUCCCAGCAAGUCUUCCAAUUUCCUGGUGUUACUGUGGCGGUGCAAGGCAAGAAGCCAUUAGUGAUUGGGUCUCGACGUGUCUCAUUCUCGGUUUAAAUAUUGAAGAGGCUUCGAAACACCUCUUCAUCCUAGCAGUUGACCUGAAAUGGUGUCUGUUGCGCCACGCAGCUGUUAUUUUUUGGUGAGCUGUCAUGGUUUCUGAUUGCGGAGCAAGGAGAUGCAGCGCUCCCGAGCCCUGACACGCAGCAGGACUCAGAGUUGGUGCUGAAUAUUUCAUGCAGACACAUGCAGACAGAGGCACCAGUCUGUUUUCAAUUCUGAUUUUCUCUGCUUCUCUAGGUGCAUAAAUGAUGCAUAUUGUUUAAGCUUCCCGGUUUCAGAAGGGGGAAGAGUGACAAAUGCCUUUGCCGUUGGUCGCACGAGUUUUGGGUGAAGCAGAUCUCGUGUUUUCAGCUGGCUGUACAAUGUUGUAAGCCAAGAAGUCUGCUGGUGGCUGAGCCCCACGUGGAUGGAGGCAGAGGGCUGGGGGCUGGGGUGGCCCAGCUCAUAGGCAGGAUUCAGCCCGCUUGAACAGGAUCCAGUACAGCUAACUACCUGUGUCCUCCUGCUAAUUAGGUGGCUCUUUCAGCCUUUCCAAGAUUUUAUCAGAUCAAAACCAGUGCUGUUUUCAUGGCGAUCAAAUGAUGAUCAAAUGAUCAAUUCAUGGGGAGAUGAGGAUGCUUUUCCAGCAGCCCUGCUCUGCCUGGAUGCAGGGCCCUGUUCUGAGCCAGCAGCUCCCAUGCUUGCGCUUUUUGGGGGUGAUAAGAAGCUAAUUAGAGCCAACCAUACCUGCCAUUGGACUAAUUGUGGAAUAAUGCUGCUGGAGUGAGUGCAGAGCAGCUGUCAGGGAGAAACGUUGGAUGGAAGCUGAUUUCAUCCCCAGCACAAUGUGCCUUGAGUGCUUCUCUCUCAAUCCCAGGCAUCCCAAUGCAGCUCCUGGAUGCUCUGCGCUCUCCCACCUGCACCUCUCCACUCCUUGCCUCAUUUCCCACAUUUCAUUACCAUUUCCCUGGGACAGAAUCCUCUGCAUUCAACUACCUCCUACUGCCACAGUCACCCCACCUGGGCCGUGGGUUGGGGUCAGCAUCCAUCCUCCAGAAGCACCGCGAUACAGCUGCUUCCCUCCUGCAUCCUAGUGAAGCCUUGGCUAUGGAUGCUUAGAAAAGUUUCAUCUCAAUGAACACCUUUUGUGGCAUUUUCAGCAGCUGGAAAAGAGCGAUGAGAGGAAUUCCUGAUGUUGUUAUGGGCUGGCUUUUCUUUGUCAAGGCUCUCACCGCCUGCCUGAUUUUCUCCUUAACAACUCUACCUGUGAUUGACAGGACAGCGAAAGCUGUCAUAAAAUAAGACAGAAAUUGGCUGUCAAUUAGAGUUGUUCUUUAAAGGUCAAACAGAAAUUAGAAUGCGAACCCCAGGGGUAUAUUUUAUAAGUGAUCACUGAUGGCAAAAUACAGGAUCCUGGCUGCACCAUGGCACAGCAGAGCCAUGAGUGAGGGCCGUAUCCU